UUCAAGUCAAGAAAUCUUUAUUUAAGUCUGAAGUUAGAAUGACAUACUUUAAUUAGUGAUAAAUAACAUUUCAAGGUAAAUGAGAAAGACCCUGCCUUUUAUUAUAUGAAAUGUUUAUAAAUAUAAUGGUUUUAAUUUUCUCUAUCUUCAUGAAAAUAUCCGUAAGUAGAAUUCCAGGUAAGCAUGAAUGUCUGCUUUCUCAGUCAUCUACAUCUAUAAUGGGCCUGCUCACAUGAAGGGUAUCAGGUUAUCCAGAUUACAAUGAUAGAAAUACCAAUAAAGAAGUGAACAAUGUUCAUGGUACAACUUAGCUCCUAUAAAAUCUUGGCAAAUGUUACCCAAAUGUAGCCUUUUCUUCGAAACCCAAACAACCUGUUAUCUUCCCAUUUUCCCUUCCAUAUAUAACAGGCAUCAUUUUAUACUUCGCUGUACAUUCUUUGUACUAUUAAUCACUUACUUAAUUUCUUUUCUGCCACCUUCCACAGACUUAAAGAACAGACACACUCAAUAAAGUAGAAAACUAUAAAUAUAUAAAAGUUGAGUCCAGGAAAAUUCAGAAAAGCAAACUGAAGGAGAAAGUUAAACUAUGAAUGUAUAGACUAUUACUUAUUAGGAGUGGAAAGUGGUAAGAAUAGUUUACUGUUUACCAAAAUCAGGUUUUCUUCUUGGGCAUGCAUUUAGCUUGCACUCCCUAGCCUCCCUGCAGCUGGAGGCCUUUGUUUUAAUUUCACCCAGUAGGAUGUGAAUACACAUGAUAUGUGCUACUUGGUCUAUGAAAAUCUUCCUUGUGAAAAUCUUCCAUACUCCUUCCUCUUUCUUCUUGACUGAGAAGGACAUGACUAUAAUGACAUCAGAAGCCCUGUACUGAGGAUGGCAGAGCCUCUGUUAUGCUAGGGCCUUAAAUAACUGUGUGGAAGAGAGGAGUCCAGCUGAUUCACAUAUCUGCCCAAAAUUGUCAUCUGAGCCACGGCACAAAUUUUGAUUGUCUUUGAGCCACUAGUCAUGAUGUGUUUGUCACUUUAGCCUAGUAUAGCACAAAUAAUACAUGUGACUGACACAAAACACAAUAAACCCACAUUUUCUAUUUGAAUUUCAGCAGAUCUUUUAACAAGUAGGAAAUAGUCUAGGCAGAUGUUUAUCCAGCAAAUAGUUCAGGGCAUGGGUUAGUCUUGGUUUUCAACAUUGGAGUAGAUCUAAGUUGGCACAGGGGAAUAACUGACUUUCCAAAAUGUUAAACCCAGAAUACUUGGGCAGUGUUACCAUAUGCCUCAAGAAGCUUCUGGGGCAGGAGGUGUUCAGUUGAAGGACUUUAUUUGUUCAAAUAACACAGGACCAUAACCAGAGACUAAGGAGCCUACAUUACCUGUGAGUCAUUGAGCUGCAACCAGGAAGAAGAACUAUGGUCAGUGUCUGGAGUCAAGCAAGUUGGCAAAAUCAAGAACCUAGCAGGAUGGCAGGUCAAUAUAGAAGCCAAGAAAUCCAGGAUCUAGGCUGCUGGGUUCAAAUCCCAGCUUCAUUCCUUACUAAUUAUGGAGUCUUGUGCAACUUAUCAAUGUCUCUGGGCUGGUCUCUUUCUUCUUCUAUAAAGCUUGGAUAAUAAAGCUAUAUGUCUAAAAGGGUUGCAUGAAAAUUAAAUAUACCUAAAGUUUAGUGUCUAGCAUAUGGUAAACUAUCAAUAAAUGAUGACCACUUUUUAUUAAGACAAAUGAGAAAAAUGAUGGAGCACACCUUGGGGAAUUAGGCUCUGGCAUAAACCAGGAGCAAGGCCAGAAAGGGUAAGAACCAGAGUUUUGCUCAAUACAAAUUCCAUCUGAAGCUGUUGCCUUUGACCUUUGGUCUUGCCCCAUCUGGAUGUAAGGUGUGGAGUAGCAUAUAGGAGCAAACAGGCCACUUACAUGGGGCAGGGGGCAAUCACAGCAAGUAUCACCUAUCCCUGAGGGAAGGACCCCCAAGGCCUGGCCGACUCAGAGGGGGACACCAGGCAGUGUCCGUUCAUUGAGAUUUACCAAAAAAAGGGCUGAAAAGUGGAGCUUGUAUGAGUGUCAGAGUUUCAGAUCUUCUAAAUAUCAGCUGUGUGACUUCGGGGUAAGUCUUUGAAACUAAUUUUUUCUCACUUAAAAUAUGAUAGUGUUUAAAGAACUGCAUUAUGACUAAAUCAGAUAACGUUAUCUUAUGAAAUACCUAAUAGGACAUAGCUCAAUAAAUCUUUAACACAUGUCAGUGGAAGGGUGGAAACGUGUCUAUAUGGUCUGUGCUGAUGGGUAAGUGGCUGGCCAGGCAUGGGAAAAAAAUCAGUUUAUUCUAAAAACCACACUUAGAGCAUUACUAGUUGUGAAUAAACAUUUAACAAUGCCCAGUGUAUGCUGAGUUGGUUUAUACUUAAGAAUCUGUGAACAAGUGUAUGCUCCACCCAGUAGACCAGCUUCAGAAACUUCCAUUUCCUCAGUAGCAUCCCCUGUUCCUAGGGCAGCUCUGAGCCAUGGUCUGGGACACCUUUCUGCUUCUUCCCUGCUCCAAGAGUCUCCCCAUGGCCUCCAUCAUAUUCUAUCCUACCCCUGUGUUAUGGCUCCCAGCUCACAGACAGAAGUUACAGGUGUCUAUAUUUGCAUUCUCUUUAGUAUGAAGCAUUCAACCCCUCCACUCUUGUGCUGGAUCCUCCUCUGGAACCUUCUCAAUGGCUGAGUUCUAGGGUACAAUGAACAUCUAUUGCAGACUUUGCAAGGAAACUAAUCCCAUGGAAGUGGAUUAUCUUCCCCUUUGCUCCUACAAAAACUAUAUGAUAAAAAUCCAUUCAGUCUGAAUAAGGAAGCAAAGCAAGAAAAGUAGGAUAUUACAGGAGGAAUGAGUGAAUUUGUAAAUGGAACCUUAUUUGAACUAUGGAGUCACCAGCCUAUGACUGGAGAAAGGAGAUAACAUUUAUAUUUCUGCUCCAAAACGACUCCAAUCCCCACCUUGUGAAGGAAAUACCCCUAAGUUUUUCUGAGUGUUCACAGUAAGGCUGACCACGCAGCCUUCCUCAGCAAUUACCACGAAAGCCUUCUUGAAACAUCAGUCUUCUCUUCAAGCUGGUGUUCACCAUCUGCAAAGGUCCUGUUUUUCCUGCUUACCAAAGGCCUGGAGAUAGAGCCUUCUGGAUUUAUCUUUUUUUUUUUUCCUUUUUAUCAUACAUCCAGGCAGCAGAUGUUCAGUGGAGUCCAAAGCAGUAUCCCUUAUAUUGCCACAAACUCUAUGACUGGAUCUUUAGAGCCAGUAAAGGAAGGAUGUUUAUAUACUGACAGCCUCUUUUUAUAUCCUCUUUCUACGGGUCCCUCAGGAACAAGGACAGUUUGGUUAGAGCAGUAGGCCCUUUUCUUUACUCUGAAUCCCAAUUGAUUUAUAACCCUCACAGUGACCCCCAGAGCAGAGAAGAUCAAGCAGGGCAAACCUGGCAAUCCCAAGUAAUUGAUGCUGACCAUCGGCACUGCUGACAGGCUUGAAGCCCCUUACCUUUGGAUUCAUGUGUUAUACAAGGCCAAAACCCUCUUUUCCUUACUCCUCCCUAAAUCUCACUGAGUUUCCACCAAGUACCUCUACCACACCUCCAUCAGACUGUCCCACGGAGCUGCUGACUUCUUGCUCAAAGCACACCUCCACCACCACCUCCUUUGAGGAAAGUGGUUUGACCUCCUACUUGCAUAUGUUGGGCUUUUAGCUAUCCGUUGUUGAUGUCUAUUGUUAGUUGGUUUUAUUCCAAUUUUGCAUAAACCAUAGUGUAAGUCUAAGAUACAAAUUUUGCAAGGAACAGGAUGUUGUCAUAGGCAAUAACUUGUUGCUAAAUGACCUUUUCUUCACUUGUUUUAUCAUACCUUUAAUUCUUACAGACAUCAACUGGCAUUAUAUUGACCCAUUUCCCACUUACUUUUGGCUUUUGGUGGGUUUUAGCACAAGCAUUUUUUCCUAUAUAUUUAUGACCAAACUUACUCCUUAUCAUUCU
rnacentral:lncRNA from 1 species